AAUUUCACCCAAAAUUCACUUCAACAUUUGGCAGUGCCCGCUUCUCCCCGAAGUUUCUACAUCAGCGGCGGCCAAUUCAACGGCGUCAACAGCGGCUGUAAUUGGAGGAGGAGCUGGAAAAUGUCAGGCGUCACUACUCAAGAGGAAGAUAAGAAGCCCUCUGAGCAACACAUUAACCUCAAAGUCAAGGGACAGGAUGGGAGCGAGGUGUUCUUCAGGAUAAAGAGGAGCACACAGCUGAAGAAGCUCAUUAAUGCUUACUGCGAGAGACAAUCUGUGGAACUGGGCUCCAUGGUAUUCUUGUUUGAUGGCCAACGCCUCCAAGGGGAGCAGACUCCUGAGCAGGUGAGUAUGGAAGAUGGUGAUGAGAUUGAUGCUAUGCUGCACCAGACUGGAGGUGCCUUUGCCUAAGCGUUGAUAUGAUGGGGAAUCUGGAAGGCUUGAUGAUAUUGUAAAUUUGUAAUAUUAAAAAGGAUGAGGGCAGAUGCAUAUUUCCGUCAGCAAGCUUCUCCGGAAGCUAGCUAUUAGAUCAAAAGCAAAGGUGUUGUUGGUACAAUUUCAAUGGUUACCGGAUUCUGGGAGACUGAGCGACCUAAACUAACUGCUUGCAGUCCUGGGAAGGAGAUGUAAAUUGAGCGACCUAAUGUCCUAUUGCAAGAUGUAAAUUGAGCAUCAUAUCAUAGGUUGUCAUCAUAGAUUUGUUGGAAUGAAGACGUCUGACCACACUAGUCAUGGUAAUUGGAAUGAAGCCCUGUUCUGUUCUGUAAAGUACAGAACGAGACAAUUUAUUAGAGGAGAAUGGUUUCUAGGUCAAUAAUUCUGAAGGCUCAAAAAAGUCCUUCGCAGCUAUUGUGAUUCGGGUGGGGGUUACAUUGCAGACUUCUAGGAUAAGCAUUUUCUUGAGCAGUAACGACUCUGCUUCGUACCGGCUUCAUUGUAUCAAUGGAAUGUAGUUGCUGGGAACACCAUUUGCAUA